CCUACGGGUGGCAGCAGUGAGGAAUAUUGGUCAAUGGACGAGAGUCUGAACCAGCCAAGUAGCGUGAAGGAUGACUGCCCUAUGGGUUGUAAACUUCUUUUAUAUGGGAAUAAAAUGUUCCACGUGUGGGAUUUUGUAUGUACCAUAUGAAUAAGGAUCGGCUAACUCCGUGCCAGUAGCCGCGGUAAUACGGAGGAUCCGAGCGUUAUCCGGAUUUAUUGGGUUUAAAGGGAGCGUAGGUGGGUUGUUAAGUCAGUUGUGAAAGUUUGCGGCGCAACCGUAAAAUUGCAGUGGAGACUGGCAGUCUUGAGUACAGUAGAGGUCGGCGGAAUUCGUGGUGUAGCGGUGAAAUGCUUAGAUAUCACGAAGAACUCCGAUUGCGAAGGCAGUGCACUAAACUGCAACUGACACUGAGGCUCGAAAGUGUGGGUAUCAAACAGGAUUAGAUACCCCUGUAGUC
rnacentral:rRNA from 1 species